CGGGGUGACUACUUCACUGUAAAUAUUCCACAACACUUAAUAAAACGGAGCUUGAAUCCACGCGCUUAGAGCUUCAGCGAUAAGAACUUUGGCAAAUGCUUCAGGAAAUGCCACCUCCUUCGUCAACUGGUGUCGCUAAGUUCUCUCUAUUCCGUUUUCCCCCUCGAAUCUUGGUGGUAAACGCAUUCCUACAUGUUUGAAUAUAAAAACACCGACAUUUUUUCAAACUUGAGAAUUUAUUGUUUACAGACGCUCCAGAGCGGGUGCUUGCGUCAAAUUCUCUCUGUGUGUUACCUAAUUAAUAUUCAAACAAUAUGCGCUCAAGCGGGAAAUAGCUUGCAGACGAUUUAUGCUAAUUAGCCACGCUGAUCGAAUUCCAUCCGACUAUCGGUCGAACCUAGUAAACGCAUGAUGUAAUAAUGACAAACGUAAAUAAAGAUUGGCCUGGCCUAUUUAACCACCGGCUUCAUCGUGCAUAUCUCUUAACACAUAUAUUCAUAAGACUUUAAUUGCCAAGAUAUAUCCUUAAGUUAUCGUGUUAUGUAUUUAUCAAAUUAAAUGCUAUCCAGAGAGUUCCCAAAAUUUGAAGAGAAAAAAAAAUUAAAAACACUUUAUCAAUAUUCUGUAGAUUUGCUCAGCGUUAAAUUGAAAGUAGGGGGAAUCUGUUGAUGAUCAUUGCCAUUAUUUCCCAUUGAGCCACGUGUGCCCAAUUAGCAGGAAUUAGUACCGAGAUCAGUACUUGGUGGGUCAUAUUGCACCGUUUUGUUUCUGUAGGUGAAUUCAUGCGAUAUAUUUCAUCGAAACACCCAGUAACUGGAAUAUUCGGGACAAUCAGCCAUUUGAUCGACAUCGGGCAGACGACAAAAGCCGGUGUUGUGUAGAGUACCGAAGAAUUCCCGAUCGGAUCAACAUUUUUACCUGUUGGCGCACACAUGCAGUAUUAAUCGGCCACAGCGUGGGGAAAGUAUAUACUGCACAGACUGCAGAUGAGUGCAACAACGUAGUCAAAAUGGUUACCAUUUCCCCGGUGUAAGACAACAGAGGAUUGCGAGUCAUUCAAGAAAGGUGCACGUACGAGGAGAGAGAGAGCCAUGUCGGCCUCUUAUUUAUGCACACUGUGUGUGUUGUGUUUUGUGUUGACUUUAGCGAGAGGGGUGUAUAUCCGUGCCCCCUCGGGAAAGGAAUCUUAUGCCCAGUAUCCGAAAUGGAACGCCUGUAUUAACGCUUCUUUGAGUUUUGAGUUCAAAACAAGUCAGGGUACGGGAAUUUUAAUGUACACGGACGAUGGGGGCUCCUAUGAUUUCUUUGAGCUGUCGCUCGAGGGUGGGGCCGCCCGACUCAGGAUAAACAUAGUGGACGGUCACGAUGGAAGUGUGGAAUUCCAGGUCGGACAGAACCUGAAUGAUAACAAAUGGCAUCGUGUGACGCUUCAAAGAAACAGGAUGGAGACCACUUUUUCAGUGGACCAGGAAUCGUCGAAGAAUGUGUCAUAUGGUUCCGACUUUUACUUCGGAAAAUUGGAGAAUAAUAGCGAUGUGUUCUUCGGAGGUUUGCCCGAGUCCUAUAUGAAGAAUUUGGAAAACCUUGCCCUGCCUUCGGUGAUGUUCUCAAAGCAUUUAGCUGUGGAAAUACGUAAUGUCAUAUACGGAAAUUGUUCGUGUGAGCCCGUCCGUGGGAGCUUAGUCAACGGAGUCUCCCUGGAUGGGAGGUUUACCGAGGCCUGUGAACAGAGGAACCCCUGUGGGGACUGCCUCUGUAUCAGUGCUGAUGCGGGACCCCAGUGUCAGUGCGAUGAGACCGACAGAUGUGGAAAAGAAAUCUCUAGCGUGUUUUACCAUCUUCCUAUGAACAUGCUGAUUGGACGAACUUCUGUCAAUCCUUCCGGACUCGAUGCCAAUAUCGAUGGAUCCAAUGGACUUCCGAAGAGUGUCAGAGGCCCUGAGGGUAAUGCCAUCCGUAUCCGGGGUAGGAGGGAGUGGCUACAGGUUUCCGGGCCGGGCCACAGAUACGAAUGUUUCGGGGAUCUGGAAAAAUGUUAUAACGGGUACACUCUUGGCCUGUGGGUUAAAUUCAACGACGUGGGGGACACAGAAGGGGUGUACAUGUCCAACGGGGGACACAGCUCCAGCUCCCACGGGAUCGCCAUGACCUACAAACUCGGGGAACUGGAAUUCGUGUUCCGGACCAAGUCCGGACUCUACUGGAACGUCAAAUACGACAACGCACUGGAGGACAAGUGGUACCACGUGAUGGUGUCCUGGACCAAUGAAAAGGGACUCAAGUUAUACAUCAACGGGGAUCUGGUCAGCGAGUCUACUACACCGGAACAGAGGAUGGCAAUAACUAGAAAACCUCGUUUCAACGAGUUCCUGAUUGGCCGCAGUAACGAUAGAACGGGCAUGGACUCUCUAGGAAUCAUUACUGUAGAUGACCUGAAGUUCUGGUCCGAGUACAAGGACGAGUAUCAAAUCCGGGAGAUCGGACCCAUGUACAGAUACUACCUGGACAUGGAUAGCAUCGUUGGAAGAGAACUAGUGGUGGACAACAUGGCGUCCGAGGUUUUGGGCAACGUCCAAAGCGUGAGCGGCAAGAUCGGAAACGCCCUGAAAUUCAACAAGGACGGGGGAAAUGUGGAUCUGGCGGAUUUCAGCACCUCCUGCCUCGGAAAUCCAGACCUCUGCCUCCACGGAUUUCUGAUUUCCUUCUGGAUCAAACUGGACGAGCUUCGUAGAUACUCGUACUACUUCUCUAGUCCGGGUAUUGACGUCUACUCGGUGGGCAAAAACCUGUACGCUGUCGUCCACGCUGGGAACAGGAAGUGGGAAGCCCGGACGUAUGGUUUGGAAAGUGGUAUCUGGCAGUUCGUGGAAGUAAGCUGGAGCGAGAGUAAGGGGUUGUCUAUUUACAUUGACCUUCGCCUGGCUGUGAAGCAGGCGGGGCAUUCUAUAGAGUCACCGAAGAAAAGCACCGAUCCCACGUUCUACAUUGGUCGCGCUAACUAUGCUAAUCAGCAAGAAUAUCCCUACGGUCUUAUUGAUGAUGUGGAAAUGAUGUAUGGGGAGAGAGACACAUUGCUGUUUUUGGAUCUGAUACAGAGAGGCAAACCGACGAAAAACUACGUUAGCUUCGACAGCAUGGUUGGAGACCGGGUAUACCACCCCAAUAUGCUGAUUGAAACGUACGGCGGGCCGAAACUCGUGUCCGGAAAAAUAGGCCAGGGCAUUAAACUGAACGGCAACAGACAGGUAGUGGACUUCGGCGAGCACCAGGCCAGGUGUCUUGGUAACCUAGACAACUGUAACCAUGGCGUCCUCCUUGGAUUGUGGUUCAAUCCAACAACCUUCAGGGACAACAUGUAUUUUGCGUCCACCGGAAAGAACGGCAUCACCAUCAGAAACACCGGAAGUCGCGUCACGGUAACAGCCGCCACGUCCACCCGCGAGUGGUCGGUUAACACGGAACUUUUGUCCUACGGGAACUGGUAUUUCCUGGAGGUAUCUUGGGAUCCGGAAAAAGGCCUGGAGCUGUACAUCAAUGACAAUUUGGUGGAUAGCAGUGACAGUCCGAGAAAGCGCGCGGUAUCUGUGGAUACGGGCAUUUACGCCAGCUCUCAGGAAAAUAAGUUCUAUCUGGGCCGAGGAAACGCCAGGAUGACGUCAAAUAGUUACGGCAACGCCAUGUAUGACGAGCUGGAGUAUUGGUACGGUCCAAGGGACUAUCUGAUCGCCUUCGAUUACAUCCAGAGAGGUAAACCAAGGGGUUAUAUAAUUGAUAUGGAAGCCAAGAGGGGAGAUGAUCUAGUCCACCAGGACCUGCCUCUGCGGCUGUACGGAGACCCCCAGCUUGUACAGGGCGUAAUAGGCUACGCCUUACACCUGGACGGCAACAACCAAUACCUAGACGUGGGCAGACACGCGGACGAGUGCCUGGGAAACUUACAGAAGUGUACCAACGGACUGACAGUAUCGGCCUGGCUCAACUUCAAAGACUACUCCGAAAACAUGUACAUACUCUCAACCGGAAACGACGGGAUCCGGAUGUACCAGAAGGGAGGGGAGACCGUCGCGGUGGUCCAUCAGAACGGCAAGGAGUGGGAGGUGUCUGUGCCCAAUCUGGAAGCGACAGGCGUGGCACUACGUGGAGCUGUCCUGGCACCCCGACUUCGGACUCAACAUGUAUGUCAACAACACCCUGGUUGCCCACUCCUCUUUCACCAACGUCGUGCCCAACGUCAGGAAGCCCGGGGCACGCGUGCUGGUGGGUCGGGCUAAUGAUGGGGAUACGGGGGAGACUACCCGUACAGCUAUGAUGAUCGUGGACGAGAUGGAGGUGUGGUACGGACGGAGGGAGGGGCUGGUCGCCUUCGAUUAUAUCCUUAGAGACAACAUUCAACACGAGACUAUCUCCUUGGAAACGGCGUCAGGGGGCGUGGUUAACCAUCCCCGACUAACUAUUACUUUAGCCAAUGGUGCAAGUCUAACCAAUGGAAGAAUAGGACAGGGGGUUUCUCUGGAGGGAUACGGCCAAUACUUGGACCUCGGAAACAAUGGCGACAAAUGUAUGGGAAAUCUGGACAAAUGCAGAAACGGACUAACCAUUUCCCUUUGGAUAAAGGCGCGAAAAUUAGAAGAUGGUACUUAUUUCCUAUCGAGUCCUUCCAACACGCUUUCCUAUGAGUAUGGACAACUGGUUUCCCGGUUCUUUAUGAACGGAAAGAUGUGGGAAGUAUCAAGCCCGAACGUUCAAGCCGAUCAGUGGCAUCAGGUGGUGAUGUCGUGGUCCCCCAAUGGUGGUGCCGAGCUCUAUCUGGACGGCAAGAAACAGGGAGCCACCACCACGUGGAGCUCCUUCCAAGGAGACGAUCCCACCGUCGGCAAGACGUUUGUGGGUCGGUCGAAGGACAAUAGCCGAAAAACCGUCAAUGCCUUGGUGGAUGAAAUUCAGUACAUCUAUGCUCAGAGGGACCAAGCCAUAGCUUCUGGACAACUGCAAGGAUACGUGAAUCACCAAGCCUUGCCUCUAGAUCGGGUACCCCGCAUUGAGAAUGGCAAGUUCUUCAUCAAGCUUCCCAUAAGAACCAUCCUCCUUCACGGAAAUCCGGCACAGGUCCAGGGCCAACACGGGCGAGCUAUUAGAAUUAACGGAAAGAGCCAGUACCUGGACUUCGGAGAAGACUUGAUUUGUAAAGGCAACCUUGCUAACUGCGAGUCCCGUGGUUUCACGGUACAGUUCGCUGUCAGGCCGGAGCGGCUGAUAGAGAACAUGUACCUGAUGGACAGCUUCCCUCUGUCUGUGUACUACAGGGACGGGAAGCUGUGGGCCACCGCUAGGACCCCGACAAUGUCCUGGACCACCUCUACCCCUGACUUUAUUGCGGGAGAAUGGCAGCUCGUAGAAAUCACAUGGCAACCACAAAGAGGCUUGUCAUUGCUAAUCGACGGGACGGAAGAAUCCCAUCAAACCUUCGGAACCCCUCAGCAGGAGAUCAGAGAGUGGGACCGCAAGACCUACUUCGGUCGUUCCCUGUCCGACAUGGUCCGGGAGAGAUACGCUGAUGCCACCUUGGAAAGGCUUGAUGUCUGGAACGUCCAAAAGGACUACCUACAGGUCCACGGCUUGAUCGGAUCCAACACCACCGGAUCUACUGGGUACAUAGUAACAGGCGAACACAACACGACGUCUGGCGGUUCCGGACAGAGUCUCCACGUCGAUAGGAUCAACGUCACCCACAAUGUGGUGACCAUCCGACCGGGCGUGGAGGUGGUGCCCGAUGACUUCAUCACGAGUGUGAUUAAUGACGACCGUCGCAUCAUUCGGGAUGGGGUCCAGACGACCUUCAUCGAGCCUGGCGGUGAUACCCACAUCAUCCCACCCCCUGGGGACAACAGCGGGGUGGAUAUCAUCGUCCUGAACGGAACCAUACGACGGGAGCAGAGAAGGAGGACAACUCUGCCACCACCCAUACCCACCACCCAGGCCCAGAUCAACACAAACCUGUACGAGGAUGUGGAGAGACAGGUGUUCCGCCAAACCCGGCGCUACUCCACACACACUAUCCGCUUCCUGGGCAGCGCCUACAUCCACUACGACUUCGGCGCCUUCGGUGUCAACGCCCCCAAGAUGAUGGAGGUGGUGUCCAACGAGACCUUUCAUUUCCAGUUCAUCACGAAGAAAGCCAAUGGCCUCCUGUGGCUGGACAACAGACAGAAUCAGCUCAUGUAUAUAGCCAUCAAGGACGGUUACCUGACUUUUUACCUGGACGAUGGGACGAACAGUCCCCAGCAGGUGCAGCUCCGCCCCGAGAACUUCCGCGACCUGAACGACUGGAGGUGGCACAAGAUCUCAGUGGAGAGGAUGGGCCGCCAUCUGAGAUUCUUUAUCGACGAGAAGUACGCGGGCGAACUCUUCACCAGGAACGAGAUUCAGUUGGUUGCCCCUGGCGACGUGUAUCUGGGAGGGAGCCCGGAUACCAUACAGCUCACCGAUAGAAACAUCCGUGAGGGCUUUGAUGGAGCGCUCACCGAGGUCAUAUACACCAAAUUCGCUAGAAACAAUCACGUGACGAUCAUAAGCCUUCUAGCUCACAUCGAGACGCAUGCGUCAACUCAUGGCCGGGUCAUUAUCUACAAACCUAACGAAUUUGGCACCAGGCCGCCACUUCCGGCCACAACUCUUGCCCCGAGACCAAAAGAAAUCUAUCUCUUCCGGACUCUCUCCAUUCUGCAGUUCAACUUCCACAUCCGGGCCACUGGCUUUAUUGACAUGAGGAAUGGCGGCGAGAUCUCUUUCCGCUUCCGGACUCUCCAGUCACAAGGUCUGAUAUUCGUUGCCGGAACUUCCGGUUCCUUCGUCAGUUGCGAAAUAGUGGACGGAUAUUUGUACAUGGUGUAUGAUUUUGGCGCUGGCGCUAAGCGUGUCCGACUUUCCUCGAGUAUUGUGAACGAUGGUCAACCCCACACUGUCCGGCUUGUAUUCAGCUAUGGCCGCCGACUUACGGCGUAUUACGACAACGUUCCUACAACUGCUAGUCUCUCGGGCUCUGAGACUUCGUUAUACUUCAGCGGAGGAAUAUGGUUCGGCGGUCCGAGGGAGGACGAUCAGUUGUCCUGGUAUCUUAUAUCAAGGAAUGGUUUUGUUGGCUGCUUGUUGGACUUUAUUUUGACAGAUACCAGCACGGAUUUUGGGUCCAUGAUUAUCCAGAAUGUACCGGAACUCUCCCAGUCCUGUGUAGUGGGGGCAAACGAGUGCGCGGUGCCCUCAAUCUGCGGGCGGGGGGAGUGUACAUAUCACGACGCCCUGUCAUACCACUGCUACUGCGCAGGGACAGGGAUGGCCGGCGACAACUGUAAUAUAUGGCCCGUGACUGCCGCAUUUGAGGGGAGGGAAUACGUGAUCUACCACUACAGCAGGUAUCUGGAGACUCACAUGAACGACUUCUCUGUCAGAUUCAGGACAAAGCAGAGUAACGCCAUACUGUUCCAGACCUACUCCACCCAGGGGCACAACGACUUCAUCCGUGCGGAGCUCGAGAACGGGCGAAUCAAGGUCACGGUCAGGGUCAACGGCAGAGACCAGGUGUUCUACACCGGGAACUACCUCAAUGACGAUGCCUGGCACACUUUUAACCUCCGCCGGCGCGCGGACCACUUGGAAUUGUGGGUAGACUCCCAGCGAACACCAAACAGGUAAAAUUCGCGAAAAUAGAUUAUCAUCAUCUACAUGCUACUGUCUAACCUGUGUACAUAAUCUUGUGGUACUUUCUGAAGAAUUAUAUUUAAUUUUACGAAACGUUUUUCUUUUCCUUUAAUUAUGUCAAUAUU
rnacentral:misc_RNA from 1 species